rnacentral:rRNA from 1 species
ACAAGUAGCGGAGCAUGUGGUUUAAUUCGAAGCAACGCGAAGAACCUUACCUAAGCUUGACAUCCCAAUGACAUCUCCUUAAUCGGAGAGCUCCCUUCGGGGACAUUGGUGACAGGUGGUGCAUGGUUGUCGUCAGCUCGUGUCGUGAGAUGUUGGGUUAAGUCCCGCAACGAGCGCAACCCUUGUCUUUAGUUGCCAUCAUUAAGUUGGGCACUCUAGAGAGACUGCCAGGGAUAACCUGGAGGAAGGUGGGGAUGACGUCAAAUCAUCAUGCCCCUUAUGCUUAGGGCUACACACGUGCUACAAUGGGUAGUACAGAGGGUUGCCAAGCCGUAAGGUGGAGCUAAUCCCUUAAAGCUACUCUCAGUUCGGAUUGUAGGCUGAAACUCGCCUACAUGAAGCUGGAGUUACUAGUAAUCGCAGAUCAGAAUGCUGCGGUGAAUGCGUUCCCGGGUCUUGUACACACCGCCCGUCACACCACGGGAGUUGGAGACGCCCGAAGCCGAUUAUCUAACCUUUUGGAAGAAGUCGUCGAAGGUGGAAUCAAUAACUGGGGUGAAGUCGUAACAAGGUAGCCGUAUCGGAAGGUGCGGCUGGAUCACCUCCUUUCUAAGGA